CCUGGGCGGCUGCAGUGAGGAAUAUUGGUCAAUGGGCGGAAGCCUGAACCAGCCAAGUAGCGUGCAGGAUGACGGCCCUACGGGUUGUAAACUGCUCUUAUACGGGAAUAACGCGCCUUACGUGUAGGGCCUUGCAUGUACCGUAUGAAUAAGGACCGGCUAAUUCCGUGCCAGCAGCCGCGGUAAUACGGAAGGUCCGGGCGUUAUCCGGAGUUUUUGGGUUUAAAGGGGGCGUAGGCCGCAUGUCAAGCGUGCUGUGAAAUGUCCGGGCUCAACCCGGGCCUUGCAGCGCGAACUGGCGUGCUUGAGUGGGCGGGAAGCAGGCGGAAUGCGUGGUGUAGCGGUGAAAUGCUUAGAUAUGACGAAGAACCCCGAUUGCGAAGGCAGCUUGCUGCAGCGGAACUGACGCUGAUGCUCGAAAGCGCGGGUAUCGAACAGGAUUAGAUACCCCGGUAGUC
rnacentral:rRNA from 1 species